AAGACCUUCGGCUUGUAAAAGUCCUUUCAGCCGGGAGGGAAGUGAAGUAAGUUAAUACCCUUUGCUCAUGGACGUUACCCGCAGAAGAAGCACCCGCUAACUCCGGGCUAGCAGCCACGGUAAUACGGAGUGUGCAAGCGUUAAUAGGAAAUACUGGGCAUAAAGCGCACGCAGGCGGUUGUUAAGUCAGGAUGAGAAAUCCCCGGGCUCAACCAUGGGAAACUGCAUCUGAUACUGGCAAAGCUUGAGUCUCGUAGAGGGGGGUAGAAUUCCAGGUGUAGCGGUGAAAUGCGUAGAGAUCUGGAGGAAUACCGGUGGGGAAGGCGGCCCCCUGGACGAAGACUGACGCUCAGGUGCGAAAAGCGUGGGGAGCAAACAGGAUUAGAUACCCUGGUAGUCCACGCCGUAAACGAUGUCGACUUGGAGGUUGUGCCCUUGAGGCGUGGCUUCCGGAGCUAACGCGUUAAGUCGACCGCCUGGGGAGUACGGCCGCAAGGUUAAAACUCAAAUGAAUUGACGGGGGCCCGCACAAGCGGUGGAGCAUGUGGUUUAAUUCGAUGCAACGCGAAGAACCUUACCUGGUCUUGACAUCCACGGAAGUUUUCAGAGAUGAGAAUGUGCCUUCGGGAACCGUGAGACAGGUGCUGCAUGGCUGUCGUCAGCUCGUGUUGUGAAAUGUUGGGUUAAGUCCCGCAACGAGCGCAACCCUUAUCCUUUGUUGCCAGCGGUCCGGCCGGGAACUCAAAGGAGACUGCCAGUGAUAAACUGGAGGAAGGUGGGGAUGACGUCAAGUCAUCAUGGCCCUUACGACCAGGGCUACACACGUGCUACAAUGGCGCAUACAAAGAGAAGCGACCUCGCGAGAGCAAGCGGACCUCAUAAAGUGCGUCGUAGUCCGGAUUGGAGUCUGCAACUCGACUCCAUGAAGUCGGAAUCGCUAGUAAUCGUGGAUCAGAAUGCCACGGGGAAUACGUUCCCGGGCCUUGUACACACCGCCCGUCACACCAUGGGAGUGGGUUGCAAAAGAAGUAGGUAGUUUAACUUUCGAGAGGGCGCUUACCACUUGGAUGAAGGAAAAU
rnacentral:rRNA from 1 species